rnacentral:rRNA from 1 species
UACGGGGGGAGCAAGCGUUGUUCGGAUUUACUGGGCGUAAAGAGCUCGUAGGCGGUUCGGUAAGUCGGGUGUGAAAACUCUGGGCUCAACCCAGAGCCGCCACCCGAUACUGCUGUGGACUUGAGUUCGGUAGGGGAGCGGGGGAAUUCCUGGUGUAGCGGUGAAAUGCGCAGAUAUCAGGAGGAACACCAGUGGCGAAGGCGCCGCUCUGGGCCGAGACUGACGCUGAGGAGCGAAAGCGUGGGGAGCGAACAGG